rnacentral:rRNA from 1 species
UACGUAGGUGGCGAGCGUUAUCCGGAAUUACUGGGCGUAAAGGGCGUGUAGGCGGCGGUGUAAGUCAGAUGUGAAAUCUCCCGGCUCAACCGGGAGCGGGCAGCUGAUACUGCAGGACUUGAGUGAGAGAGGGGAGAGCGGAAUUCCGAGUGUAGCGGUAAAAUGCGUAGAUAUUAGGAGGAACACCAGUGGCGAAGGCGGCUUUCUGGCUAUUAACUGACGCUGAGGCGCGAAAGCGUGGGGAGCAAACAGG